UUUUUUUUUUUUUUUUUUUUUUUGGUGUUUGAGACAGGUCUAACUCUGAUGCCCAGGAUGGAGUGCAAUGGCAGGACCACUGCUCACUGCAGCCUCAACUUCUCAACUCUUGGUCUCAAGUAAUCCUCCUGACUCAGCCUUCCGAGUAGCUGGGACCAGAGGCAUAACCCACCACACCCGGAUAUAUUUUUUAUUUUUUACAGAGAUAGGGUCUCACUGUGUUGCCUAGGCUGGUCUUGAACUCCUGGGUUCAAGCGGUCCUCCCACCCUGGUCUCCCAGAGAGUUGGGAUUACAGGCACGAGCCACCACUCCUGACCCUCCUACGUCAUUUUUAAAAGCUACAAAAUAGUUUAUUGAAUGGUUGUACCCUAACGUGUUUUACUAACCCCCAUUUGGGUAUUCACAGUUUCUUUUCCCUUCCUUUCCCUUCCCAUUUUUUAAAGGAAGAAUUCCUAGUACUAUUACUGUUAAAUCACAAUAAAUACAUAUUUUCAAGGCUUUUGAAGUAUACUUUCAAAUUGGUCCCAGGAAGUUUUCAUGGAUUUAUAUCCCUAUCAGCAAUGAGAAUGCUGUUUUUCUAAGAUUUUGUCAAAACUAUUACAGUGAACAACGACAAAUAGCAAAUUUUGUCUUUCAACAGUUAAUUAUUUUUAUUUGUUUUGAUUUGUACUUCUUCAAUUAGUGCAGAAGAUGAACCUUCUUUUUUUGGCUUACAGGCUAUUUAUAUAUUCAAUAUUUUUAAAGCCUGUGGUGUGCCCUUUGUCCACUGGGAGAUGUUAGCAAUUUUCUCAUUGAUUUGUAAAAGCCCUUUGUAAAUCAAAACCAUAUAGCGUAUUUGUUGCAAAUUUUUCCAAUCUAAAGUUUGUCCUAAAAUUUUGUUAAUAGUGUUUUUAGUAUAUCAAAGUUUUAAAGUUUUAUGUAGUGAGGAGUUAAAAUGUUUCCCAAAAUAACUAACCAAUCAUCCCAGCCUUAUUUUUUAAACAAUAUUCUCUUUCUUCACUGAAUUAAAUGCCACCUUUGUCAGAUACUUAGUUCUUCUUUUACUUGGGUUUUUCCCCCACUGAUAUCUACGCUGUUCCACAGGAUUAUGCAUCAAAUCCACUCUUCUACUUUCCUGCAUCUUUAGCAUAGCGUCAUGACACUGCUUAAUAUCAUGUAGAAUGAGACCCUUCCAUUACUCUAGCUUUUAAAAAAAUUCUAGCAAUUCAAAUUAUGAUUUUACUUUCUGAUGAAUUUCAGGGUUAUUUAGACAAGUUUUUAAAAUCUCACAGGAGUAUUAAAUGUAUGAUAUAUUAAUCAGGGGGAAAUUGGCUAGACUAACCAUAUUCAAUCUAUCCAUUCAGUUACAUGGUCUUUUAGUUUAUUCACAUCCUCUAGGUCCUUUUGAGAAUCACUUUGCUUUUUUCUGCGUUUUCUAUGUCUCCAAUUCACUAGUCAAGUUUUAACUGCCGAAUUGAAGCAAUAGUGUGAGGAAGGAAAUGCUCCUGCAAAAUAGUCUUUUAACUAUAUCAAUGUGAGCCGCAGAUAAGGAGAGAAAUGACCCAAUGCUCUUGUCAAAGGAAA
rnacentral:lncRNA from 1 species